GCUUUGAGUAUCGACCACAACAUUGAGUCAUUGUCAGUGAGAUAGUAAAACGUGUUCAAGAAGUUUGCUGGAUUUAUCUUCUAUUAUCAAGGAUCCAAUCAAGAUGAUCAACGAUAUGCAGUUAGCUGUGUUUUCAAACUUUCUUGGUAUCAUCCUGUUUUUGCUUGUUGUACUGUAUCAUUAUGUUGCUGUUACAAAACCCAAAAAAGAAUGAUGAGUUGAAGAGAAUUUAGUGGUCUGAAAGACUUACUGGCGAAGAGAAGGACAAAAAUUUGUAAAAAGUAAAGCUUUUUGAAUAAAUGAAUUAGUUUGA